rnacentral:rRNA from 1 species
GGAAUAUUGGACAAUGGGGGAAACCCUGAUCCAGCCAUGCCGCGUGUGUGAAGAAGGCCUUUUGGUUGUAAAGCACUUUAAGCAGUGAAGAAGACUCUUCGGUUAAUACCCGGAGACGAUGACAUUAGCUGCAGAAUAAGCACCGGCUAACUCUGUGCCAGCAGCCGCGGUAAUACAGAGGGUGCAAGCGUUAAUCGGAAUUACUGGGCGUAAAGCGAGCGUAGGUGGCUUGAUAAGUCAGAUGUGAAAUCCCCGGGCUUAACCUGGGAACUGCAUCUGAUACUGUCAGGCUAGAGUAGGUGAGAGGAAGGUAGAAUUCCAGGUGUAGCGGUGAAAUGCGUAGAGAUCUGGAGGAAUACCGAUGGCGAAGGCAGCCUUCUGGCAUCAUACUGACACUGAGGCUCGAAAGCGUGGGUAGCAAACAGGAUUAGAUACCCGGG